rnacentral:rRNA from 1 species
GGAUUCCCCUAGUAACUGCGAGUGAACAGGGAUUAGCCCAGCACCGAAGCCUGUGGUUAUUUGACUGCAAGGCAAUGUGGUGUUUAGGUUUGUUCUUGGCAUUACUGCUCUGCCCCAAGUCCAGCAAUGAGUACGGCAUACCGUUCUGGCCCAUAGAGGGUGAAAGGCCCGUGGGGGUAGAGACCAAGCAUGACAGUUUUGUCCAGAGCUUACCUUGGAGUCGGGUUGUUUGAGAAUGCAGCCCAAAGUGGGUGGUAAACUCCAUCCAAGGCUAAAUACUUGCACGAGUCCGAUAGUAAACAAGUACCGUGAGGGAAAGUUGAAAAGUACUUUGAAGAGAGAGUAAACAGUGCGUGAAACCGCUCAGAGGUAAACGGGUGGAGUUGAACUGCGAUCCUUGGGAAUUCAGCUGAUGAGCAUGAUUUGUGCUUGGGCAUAUUGACCGCCUUUCAGUGUCUGCUUAGCUGCGGGUGCCUGCCUCUGGUGGGUAUGUGUGGUGCGCUUAUCAUGUGCCGCACGCAUUGGAGGGUGUAUGAGUCUGCUUGUCGGUGCACUUUCUCAGGGUGUUCACCACGACCGGCACUGCUGUCUGUCUGCUUUGGUCAAACUGAUCAGGUCUGAUUAACGUUGGGCUUGGUUGGGGUGGCAGGUGACUCACUGGUCCAUUCUGUGGGCUAUGAGUGUUACUAGCCGGCUUUAGUGGAUCUGUACGGUGUGUCGGAGACGGCGGCUUUGCAUAUGCGCUCUGUCCUUCAGGCGUGGUUGAGUCUGGUCGACUUGUUGCUAGUUUCGGCUGGUCAGUUGAUGGCUUGAUCAUGUUCAGUUGGCAGUGGUGUGUGUGUCUUAGUUUGGGCCAAUAGUCUGUGGUGUUGUGGUAGACUAUCCACCUGACCCGUCUUGAAACACGGACCAAGGAGUUUAACAUGUGCGCGAGUCAUUGGGCUUUACGAAACCCAAAGGCGCAGUGAAGGUAAAGGCUUGGCUUGUCCAGGCUGAGGUGAGAUCCUGUUGUUUUGCUCAUUCAUUCCAAGCUGCGAGCAGCAGGCGCAUCACCGGCCCGUCCCAUGACGUAGACAUGUGGCCUUGUGCUAUGUGCACCGUCGGGGCGGAGCAAGAGCGUACAUGUUGAGACCCGAAAGAUGGUGAACUAUGCUUGCGAAGGUUGAAGCCAGAGGAAACUCUGGUGGAGGACCGUAGCGAUUCUGACGUGCAAAUCGAUCGUAUAACGUGAGUAUAGGGGCGAAAGACUAAUCGAACCAUCUAGUAGCUGGUUCCCUCCGAAGUUUCCCUCAGGAUAGC